rnacentral:ncRNA from 1 species
UGAAUAUGUUUCCGUGCCGUUGCACCUAAAGCGAAAGCCAUGGUGGGCGGCCUGGGCAGAAAUGCUCACGGGGUUAUGCAGGAAACCGCAUGGCCUUCCAUUUGUGAGAAGGGAACAAAGUA